CAACACACAGAAAAAAACUCUGAUGAAUAGACAGUCACUCUGAGUAUCCUGCACUCUGGAAAUUACAUAUCCUAAUAAGAUAUGUAUAAGGGAUAGCCUCCACAUUAAGUGUGGUUCUCAUCAGACUUUAAAAAUAUUAACUUAUUCCAGCCUUUUAAAACAUAAUUUUAUAUUUUAAAUCAGCAUGCACAGUAUUAGAUGUCACUUUAGUAUUCUCAAAUUGUGCUUUACUAGGUUCUCCCUUCGAUCUUCUCCACCCUUUGUUGCCCCUAAUCUCCUCUUGUAGCCUUCUCCACAAACUUUAACAAUUUAACCUUACUGUUGUUAUUUAUGGGUGUGUACGGAUGUAUGUAUGGCAGAUACAUACGUAAGGGUCGGAGCACAGUUUGCAGGAGCUGUUUGUUUCCUCCCACCAAGUGGCUGGGGUUCGAACUCAGACUGUCAGGUUUGGUGACAAACACCUUAACCUACUGAGCCGUCUGUCCAGCUCCAUGAUUUUCUAAGAGUCAACCUUCCCCAGUUUUUAUCUUUACAUAUUUGCACUUCAUCCUGAGACAUCUUCAGGCCGUUGCUUGUUAUUUCCUGAGUGCCUUACAGAUGGAUGUUGGGAGCUGAACCACAUGAACCUGUCUGAACUCAGCCCUCCAAGGAGUUUUCAUACUCAACACAACUCUUCCAGAUAUUGCAAAGACCAAGGAAAACAGUUGAUAAAAGCAAGGGUUAAAUAAGGGUAAUAUUAUUGCCAACCAAUCUCAAUUCAAAUAUUAGUUUACACAACAGAGCUCUCGAGUAUCCUUGCAUGUCAGAGGAAACAGGAGACAGUAAUAGUCAGCAGCUGAUGGACCGCACGAAGGAUGUGAGGUCUGAGUAGAAAUCAAACUGUAGGCAGUGUGAGAAAACGUGAGCACCAAGUUCCCAGGGUGUAUGUGAAUGUGAAAAUUUUACAAAAAGGCAUGGGGGGAGGGAGUGUUGGUCUGUUAUGCUCAGAGGAAACCAAAUGCAAAUUGCUAUGUUUUGCAGAGGUCUUAGUUUCCAGUCACUUUUGUCAAGAAACUAGAAACUUGCUGCAAGAGACUGAGCACCAAGUGGGGGCCAAGGCUCUUUAAUAGUCUGCUUUAGAGAAGGAGGUGGAAUGUUCACCACAGCACUAACCAGAGGAAGUUGUCCGCUCCUCACAGUCUUUGUGAGACUUCCGGUUGUUGCAUCUGAUGGAACAGUUUGUGACAGAGGUGACAGCUCCUGAUAAACAGCUGGUGCCCACACUAUGAAUUUAUUUGCUUCUGUAGAACACAGCCUGUGUCUCAGGGCACAGCUGCUGCUUGGACUGUGGCAGCUAUAGAGGAGUCCAGUAUGCCUGAGUCUAGGGUAAAGGAAAGGUGUCAUCUACUGACGUCAUGGUCUGACUACCAGGUACAUAAUGUUGGAUACCAAGAACAACUAUACCCAUGGAUGUAUCAUAGAGAACAGAGAUGAUUAAUCAGAGAGGAACUGAGCAAAACCCUCUUUAGGGGUGGUGAUAUGGAACAGAGUAAAUGGUAUGGAAAUGAGAAAAUUUAUCAGAUUAAAGGACAUAACAAGUGUAAAGAUAAAAAGUAUAUACUACAAUCCCCUAUUAGACUUCAAAGAAGGAAUUUGCUUUCACAAUGAGAAAACAAUUGACUUCAAAAAAUGGAUGCAUACAAAUUUUAAUGUUCCUGCAUGAUGAAGAGGGAGUAAAAUAAUUAGCUCCUUUGCCAUCUAAGGAGGGAGUAUAGCCUAUUCUGUGUAAGUCAUCUUGAUUUAUUCAAGCGACUCUAUUACAGAGCUUGGUUCUUGGGCAUGAGUUCAAUUUUCCUUCUGAGCUGCUAAGAAGAAGCUAAGAUCAGUCCAUGACCUGGAUGAAGCAGAAACCAAUAGAGCUUCCUGGAGGAGAAAAUCAGCCAAGAUGCCUGGAAGAGGCAGAUGCCCCUGAACUGCAUGAAAAUGACCGAGAAGAAGUCAGAUGGAACACACUCAGGCUACCUGGAUGUCUGGAAAAGAAUCUUUCCAGUCUGUUGACCUGUGUGCAGGUUGUACUGUUCACUCCAAGUCUCCAGAUUUCAUGAGCUCUCACCCUUGCUGGGGUAAGGUUUUGGUGAUGCCACUGACUUUGAGUCAUUUUUGCUCCUAUAAGUAACCUUUCACUCAUAUUCCUGUAGAUAACCUCAAUAAAAUUUAUGGUUCACCAUGUUGGAUUUUGGUGAUAUCUUUAUUUUUGUCUGUUAUCUGUUUCCUAACUGGGUUGAUAGACUUUUGUUCAUGUUUCCCUUGAAGUAAUGUCACAUACAACUUCAAACCAGGAAUGUGAACUAAUUUUUCAGACUUGGAUAUCCUCUGUGUUUAAAAUUUGGUACAGUUUAAAAAACAAAACAAAACAUAAUUCUGAAAACAACCAGACAACAUAUCAAAAAUACAUUCUGUUCCUCCUCCAGGGUCUACUCUGAUAAGUAGUCUUGACUCUCAUUAAGGAAAUUUCUCUUUGCAACAAAAAGAGAACUACAGAAAACCACAACCAAUAAAAAUGCAGACAUAUAGAUUCCUGUCUUAGUUGAUAUAUAUUCAAUACACCCCAGGAUCUAAGAUUUAGGGAACAUUGCAGAAAAUGGUAUAGAAAGAGUGUAAGUGCCAGAGGUUCAGGAAGUUUGCUGUGACCUGUAUCUUCUAGUAGUCUCAGAAGCUACACUCAUAAAAUCUCACCAACAUGACUGUCUAGAUUAACAAUGAUGAUGCCAAUCAACAUACCAUAUUAAAUGGAGAAAAACCACAUGAAGGCUCAAUAUGACAGGAAGAAUUAUAGGCAACUGGGAAAUGCUAGGUGUAGAAGAGGUGGUCUUCCCUAGUGAGGAGCAUAACUGGCUGUCCAGUGCCAAAUGAUCAGUCUUGAAAAUAUCCAUAAAAAUAGCAUUAUAUAGACUGAAUAGAUUAUAUUUAAGAAUAUAUAUGUGUAUAUGUAAAUAAUUAAAUAUACACAUGGGUGGAGUAUUAAAGAAGGCUUGAAGGGAGGAAUGGGAACAGAGAAAUGUGAUUAAAUUAUAAUGUAAAAAUUUCUUUACAAAUAUUUUCCAAAUAUGAUGGCCUGUGACUUAAACCAUAACAUUUAGCAGGUGGAAGCAGGGUCAUCAGAAAUAAGGCCAUGCCUGUGUACAGAGGUAGUUUGAGACUAGUUUUGGCUGCAUGAGACCCUA
rnacentral:sRNA from 1 species